AUACGGAGGGUGCAAGCGUUAAUCGGAAUUACUGGGCGUAAAGCGUGCGCAGGCGGUUUGUUAAGUCAGAUGUGAAAGCCCCGGGCUCAACCUGGGAACUGCAUUUGAAACUGGCAAACUAGAGUGUGGUAGAGGGAAGCGGAAUUCCUCAUGUAGCGGUGAAAUGCGUAGAUAUGAGGAGGAACACCAGUGGCGAAGGCGACUUCCUGGACCAACACUGACGCUCAUGUACGAAAGCGUGGGUAGCAAACAGGAUUAGAUACCCUAGUAGUCC
rnacentral:rRNA from 1 species